CUACAAACAAAGUGAUUGCUCGAGCUUUAUGGUCUAAAGAAGACUGGCACUUAUUAUUGUUGUGGCUAUCAUGCUCUUUUUGGCAUUUCUUGGAUUUUUAUUUUCCAAAUGAUUGGGAUGCAACCUCUGGUAUACUUGUAAGUGAUUUAAACAUUAAGCCCUUUUCAUGCUCAAUUAUUAAUAACGGUCAUUGAAAAUUUCGGAAUCAGUUCUCUUUUACUUGAUUAGCUUCUAUCCUUAUUUGGGGGCCUAAAAGAUGUGUAUACUGUGUGCAAUGAAGACAUUUUGUGCAUGGAUCUGUUACUAGUUGACUUGUUAAUGCGAUGAUUGCCUGCUCUUAUUUUUGCUAGUCUUGACUUGUUAAUUUUUAUGAAAAUGUUGACUUGCUAUAGAGGUUUGUGAUUAAUGGGGUUUCCCAAACUUCUGAUAUAUUAUAUAAUAUAUAAUGGU